ensembl:lincRNA Gm27033 predicted gene, 27033
UACAAAUCAACUUCAAGGAAUUGAAUUGCCUAGAGUUUUUUUUCCUAAGACAGGGGAAGUGAAAAUAUAUACUUUUGGGGCUGGGGCUUCAAUAUUUGCCUAGCUUGUACCAGACCCUGGGUUCAGUGCCCAGAUUGUAACUAAGUCUGUUUCAUAAUCAUGCAUCCAAGGUUCUUGUCUGCAUUCUUCAAAUGUAUGCUUACAUAGCCAUAUAUGUGUUAUAUUUUGCUAUAUCCUAUAAAUGAACUUUGGUUUGUUUUCUGAGUAAAUCUUUUUCUUUUUCAUUUUCCUUUUUGAAUUCUCUACUAGACCUGAAUUGUAGGGCCAUGAGGUUUGAAAGCAUCAUGUCUCCUAUCUGUCCGUGCUCCAAGUCACUCACAAGGUUCACACAGCUAAAUAAGUGUGGGAAUGCUCUCUAUAUUACAUGGAACCAUUUCUACUUCAGAAAAAAAAAAAAACAUAGGAAAUGUAUCGCCAAAAAUUGAAAAUGCAAAGAUCCUGUGUUUGUUGGAUUCAUUAUAAUAAAUGUAUGAGUACUUCAUUUGGA